GGGUUGUGAGGUUAAGCGACUAAGUGUACACGGUGGAUGCCCUGGCAGUCAGAGGCGAUGAAGGACGUGCUAAUCUGCGAUAAGCGUCGGUAAGGUGAUAUGAACCGUUAUAACCGGCGAUUUCCGAAUGGGGAAACCCAGUGUGUUUCGACACACUAUCAUUAACUGAAUCCAUAGGUUAAUGAGGCGAACCGGGGGAACUGAAACAUCUAAGUACCCCGAGGAAAAGAAAUCAACCGAGAUUCCCCCAGUAGCGGCGAGCGAACGGGGAGGAGCCCAGAGCCUGAAUCAGUGUGUGUGUUAGUGGAAGCGUCUGGAAAGGCGCGCGAUACAGGGUGACAGCCCCGUACACAAAAAUACACAUAUUGUGAGCUCGAUGAGUAGGGCGGGACACGUGGUAUCCUGUCUGAAUAUGGGGGGACCAUCCUCCAAGGCUAAAUACUCCUGACUGACCGAUAGUGAACCAGUACCGUGAGGGAAAGGCGAAAAGAACCCCGGCGAGGGGAGUGAAAAAGAACCUGAAACCGUGUACGUACAAGCAGUGGGAGCACGCUUAGGCGUGUGACUGCGUACCUUUUGUAUAAUGGGUCAGCGACUUAUAUUCUGUAGCAAGGUUAACCGAAUAGGGGAGCCGAAGGGAAACCGAGUCUUAACUGGGCGUUAAGUUGCAGGGUAUAGACCCGAAACCCGGUGAUCUAGCCAUGGGCAGGUUGAAGGUUGGGUAACACUAACUGGAGGACCGAACCGACUAAUGUUGAAAAAUUAGCGGAUGACUUGUGGCUGGGGGUGAAAGGCCAAUCAAACCGGGAGAUAGCUGGUUCUCCCCGAAAGCUAUUUAGGUAGCGCCUCGUGAAUUCAUCUCCGGGGUAGAGCACUGUUUCGGCAAGGGGGUCAUCCCGACUUACCAACCCGAUGCAAACUGCGAAUACCGGAGAAUGUUAUCACGGGAGACACACGGCGGGUGCUAACGUCCGUCGUGAAGAGGGAAACAACCCAGACCGCCAGCUAAGGUCCCAAAGUCAUGGUUAAGUGGGAAACGAUGUGGGAAGGCCCAGACAGCCAGGAUGUUGGCUUAGAAGCAGCCAUCAUUUAAAGAAAGCGUAAUAGCUCACUGGUCGAGUCGGCCUGCGCGGAAGAUGUAACGGGGCUAAACCAUGCACCGAAGCUGCGGCAGCGACGCUUAUGCGUUGUUGGGUAGGGGAGCGUUCUGUAAGCCUGCGAAGGUGUGCUGUGAGGCAUGCUGGAGGUAUCAGAAGUGCGAAUGCUGACAUAAGUAACGAUAAAGCGGGUGAAAAGCCCGCUCGCCGGAAGACCAAGGGUUCCUGUCCAACGUUAAUCGGGGCAGGGUGAGUCGACCCCUAAGACGAGGCCGAAAGGCGUAGUCGAUGGGAAACAGGUUAAUAUUCCUGUACUUGGUGUUACUGCGAAGGGGGACGGAGAAGGCUAUGUUGGCCGGGCGACGGUUGUCCCGGUUUAAGCGUGUAGGCUGGUUUUCCAGGCAAAUCCGGAAAAUCAAGGCUGAGGCGUGAUGACGAGGCACUACGGUGCUGAAGCAACAAAUGCCCUGCUUCCAGGAAAAGCCUCUAAGCAUCAGGUAACAUCAAAUCGUACCCCAAACCGACACAGGUGGUCAGGUAGAGAAUACCAAGGCGCUUGAGAGAACUCGGGUGAAGGAACUAGGCAAAAUGGUGCCGUAACUUCGGGAGAAGGCACGCUGAUAUGUAGGUGAAGUCCCUUGCGGAUGGAGCUGAAAUCAGUCGAAGAUACCAGCUGGCUGCAACUGUUUAUUAAAAACACAGCACUGUGCAAACACGAAAGUGGACGUAUACGGUGUGACGCCUGCCCGGUGCCGGAAGGUUAAUUGAUGGGGUCAGCGCAAGCGAAGCUCUUGAUCGAAGCCCCGGUAAACGGCGGCCGUAACUAUAACGGUCCUAAGGUAGCGAAAUUCCUUGUCGGGUAAGUUCCGACCUGCACGAAUGGCGUAAUGAUGGCCAGGCUGUCUCCACCCGAGACUCAGUGAAAUUGAACUCGCUGUGAAGAUGCAGUGUACCCGCGGCAAGACGGAAAGACCCCGUGAACCUUUACUAUAGCUUGACACUGAACAUUGAGCCUUGAUGUGUAGGAUAGGUGGGAGGCUUUGAAGUGUGGACGCCAGUCUGCAUGGAGCCGGCCUUGAAAUACCACCCUUUAAUGUUUGAUGUUCUAACGUGGACCCGUGAUCCGGGUUGCGGACAGUGUCUGGUGGGUAGUUUGACUGGGGCGGUCUCCUCCUAAAGAGUAACGGAGGAGCACGAAGGUUGGCUAAUCCUGGUCGGACAUCAGGAGGUUAGUGCAAUGGCAUAAGCCAGCUUGACUGCGAGCGUGACGGCGCGAGCAGGUGCGAAAGCAGGUCAUAGUGAUCCGGUGGUUCUGAAUGGAAGGGCCAUCGCUCAACGGAUAAAAGGUACUCCGGGGAUAACAGGCUGAUACCGCCCAAGAGUUCAUAUCGACGGCGGUGUUUGGCACCUCGAUGUCGGCUCAUCACAUCCUGGGGCUGAAGUAGGUCCCAAGGGUAUGGCUGUUCGCCAUUUAAAGUGGUACGCGAGCUGGGUUUAGAACGUCGUGAGACAGUUCGGUCCCUAUCUGCCGUGGGCGCUGGAGAACUGAGGGGGGCUGCUCCUAGUACGAGAGGACCGGAGUGGACGCAUCACUGGUGUUCGGGUUGUCAUGCCAAUGGCACUGCCCGGUAGCUAAAUGCGGAAGAGAUAAGUGCUGAAAGCAUCUAAGCACGAAACUUGCCCCGAGAUGAGUUCUCCCUGACCCUUUAAGGGUCCUGAAGGAACGUUGAAGACGACGACGUUGAUAGGCCGGGUGUGUAAGCGCAGCGAUGCGUUGAGCUAACCGGUACUAAUGAACCGUGAGGCUUAACCUUACAACGCCGAAG
rnacentral:rRNA from 1 species